rnacentral:lncRNA from 1 species
AUAAGUUUCUAAUAAAUGAUUUUAUUCAUUUGGUUUAGGUCUACAACAACAUACUCAAUCAUGUAGCUAAAAGAAACCUUAUCCGCUGAAUGUUGUUGUUUAUGAGCACAUUUUGACAAUAACAAUGAGUAAUAACUAAUUCUAGCUCUGCUACGUAGUUUAUUUUUGCUUCUCUGAAUCAAGCUCUAUUUCUUUGUCUUAUUGAGCUCUGUGUGAUAGCUUAUCAGUCUCAUCCGAUCAACUAUAUUCUGAGAUUAUGAGAAAUUUGCAUCCGAUGCUUG